rnacentral:rRNA from 1 species
AACGAACGCUGGCGGCAGGCUUAACACAUGCAAGUCGAACGCACCGCAAGGUGAGUGGCAGACGGGUGAGUAACGCGUGGGAACCUACCCAGUUCUACGGAACAACUGAGGGAAACUUCA